GAUAUACAUUUAUGUGAUAAAGAACAUAUAUAAAGAACUUUUCAGUUUUGUGUGUGUGUUCAUAUUCGUUCGUUGACAAAAAGUGAAUCAAAAUGUAAAAAUUUAUUUGUGAGUAAAAGCAGGGAAAAGUUAUUCGAACAAGAAAAUAAGAGAGAAGAACUACAGGUGAAAAAUGGAUUUUCCUCAAACCAUAUUCGAAUAAGACAAAAAACAAAAGAGAACAAAUGUGGAUUUUCCUCAAAACUGAAUAUAACGGCAUUGAAAUUUAGGAAACUUGUGGUAUUCUGUAUGAUAAUAAGAAGCUUUUUUUACCCAUUAAUCUGAUUGUCACUUUCUUUUGUGAGGCUCCAUAUUUAAAGAAGAAAACCGCGGGCUAACGGAAAAAGUAUACAUCCUGUUUUUGACGUUUUCAUCGCCCACACCACCAGAAAGGGCCCGUCAUCUUUAACGAAAAUUCUAAAACCCGGGACAUCCCCCAAAGAAUUAAAGUCGGCAGGCGCCCCUUUCAUCGGCCCCUCGAAAUAGAUGGUUCGUUUGCUUUACAAAAAUAAACAAAUAAAUUAAUAAAAAGUAAAGCAGGAUAGUUAAUUUUUAAAAAUAUGAAACAUGUGUUUUAUUAAAAACCCUUAUAAUACAUAAAUUGAGUUACUUUUAAAAACUUAAAUCAUCUAAUUUUGAAAAAACGAAAAAAUAAUUAUUAAAUAAAAAGUGGUAGAUACAACUACUUAUUCGUUGAUAAGGGGUUAACAUCCUCCUCAAGUGGGUUAAUAUUUGAAUUGGAACUAAAAAUAUAAAUUUUUAAUAAGAUGUUAUAAUGUUUUCGAGAACUACUUAAUUGCGUCACACAUUAUGAUGAAAUGAAUCUUUUAUCCAAAACAGUAUUCUAUCUACAAAAAAUGAAUAAUUAACCAACCAAAAGAAUUUUACAAAGAAGCUAUGAUAAUAAAUUUUCUUUUUCACGAUAUUAACUGGAGUUGACUGUAGAAUAUUGUGGUUCAUUUUUCAUCGCCCACACCAUCUGAAAGAGCCCCUCAUCUUUGACGAAAAUUUUGAAACCUGGGACGCCCCCCAAUGAAUUAAAAUCAGGAGGCGCCCCUUUCAUUGGACCCUCAAAAUAGAUGGUUCGUUUGCUCUACAAAAAUAAACAAAUUAUGUGCAAAUGAUCUAAUACAUCGUUGUGUUGUAGAUUUUACUUUACACUCUUUUAAACAUUUUUCAUAAUCCUUAAAAGAAAUUUUAUUUUUAACGAUGUUAUAUUUAACUUCCUUUGAUCUUUUAUAACUUUCCCACCGUGAAUCUCGUACGUAUACAUUUUCGAUCGUAGUCUUAUGAAAUGAGUAAAAUUUUUCCUCAUUUGCGAUCGUCUAUGGCAGCCACGAAAUUUCGAUAUCUUUUUAUCUAAUAAAGGUAUGGAUUAUUUUCAGGAUAAUCUAUUUCAGAUAUGGAUGAUUUUAUGAGUGUACAUUUCGACAUCUUUGUUACGCCAACAUGUGCUAUUUUUUAAGUCGCCUACGAUAGCUUCCGAAUCUAGCCAAAGGUCCGUUUAUAAAAUUCGAGCUGUCGAUAAUCUUCAUAUUAAUUAAUUGCAAGUUUGGAUUCCCACAUCUCGGUCAUAACCGAUAUUUUUAAAUAUUUAAUUUUGCUUUGAGAGGAUCAUCUCUCUGAUAUGUAAAGCAUGCGGGGGCAACCGUGAAAAUAACACCCUUGAAAUUCAAAGACUAGAUUCCAACGAAACCAUCAAUUUUCAUCGAACUGCAAGAGAGUGUUUCCUACCAAUACGGGGUAAUCGAAGAGAUAUUUUGGAUUGAUUGUCUUUGAAUCUGUAUCCUCUUUUGGUUUUAGGAAUUUUCUGCGGAAGAACUUUGUUGCAGACACUUGGUAGCAUUACAAUUGCAUUCAUUUUGUAAAAUGUCUUAAAUAGAAUCAAACAUUUUUAUCUUAUAAAAUAUUGUAUUCAAUUUAUCUUAGAUGUUUACCACUAAUCAUUUGAAGAAUAUAGAUGUUAUCUAUCUUGAGUUAGACACCAAAUUUACAUGUUUAUGUUUCUUAUCUUUUGAAUGGUAUGUUGGUAACGUUUCAAAAACAUUUUUUAUUUUUUCGUUAAAAUAUUAAUGUCAUAGGAAAUUGAAUGGCUUUAGUAGAUGAGCAACGUAUGUCUGACUACAGAAAUAGGGAAAACCGUGUGUUAGAGAGAGAGCAGCGAGACAAUGUGUAAGAGAGAGAGAGACUUCGUUUUUGCGCAUGCGUAAAGUUAUAUAUUCGUUGCGAUGAUAACAGCGGGAGCGCUGAUAUACCAGGUCGGUUAAAAGUCUUUGGGUUUUAAAAAAUUAUAUAUACCAUUAUAAUUCUCUAAUCUUUUAACAUAAAAGUAUAACGUAUAAAUAAAAAGAGAUUUUUGUCAAUGUAAGGUAUCACGCACGUAAUCGAGACAGAUUCGUUGCGAUGAUAACAGCGGGAGCGCUGAUAUACCAGGUCGGUUAAAAGUCUUUGGGUUUUAAAAAAUUAUAUAUACCAUUAUAAUUCUCUAAUCUUUUAACAUAAAAGUAUGACGUAUAAAUAAAAAGAGAUUUUUGUCAAUGUAAGGUAUCACGCACGUAAUCGAGACAGAUUCGUUGCGAUGAUAACAGCGGGAGCGCUGAUAUACCAGGUCGGUUAAAAGUCUUUGGGUUUUAAAAAAUUAUAUAUACCAUUAUAAUUCUCUAAUCUUUUAACAUAAAAGUAUAACGUAUAAAUAAAAAGAGAUUUUUGUCAAUGUAAGGUAUCACGCACGUAAUCGAGACAGAUUCGUUGCGAUGAUAACAGCGGGAGCGCUGAUAUACCAGGUCGGUUAAAAGUCUUUGGGUUUUAAAAAAUUAUAUAUACCAUUAUAAUUCUCUAAUCUUUUAACAUAAAAGUAUAACGUAUAAAUAAAAAGAGAUUUUUGUCAAUGUAAGGUAUCACGCACGUAAUCGAGACAGAUUCGUUGCGAUGAUAACAGCGGGAGCGCUGAUAUACCAGGUCGGUUAAAAGUCUUUGGGUUUUAAAAAAUUAUAUAUACCAUUAUAAUUCUCUAAUCUUUUAACAUAAAAGUAUGACGUAUAAAUAAAAAGAGAUUUUUGUCAAUGUAAGGUAUCACGCACGUAAUCGAGACAGAUUCGUUGCGAUGAUAACAGCGGGAGCGCUGAUAUACCAGGUCGGUUAAAAGUCUUUGGGUUUUAAAAAAUUAUAUAUACCAUUAUAAUUCGCUAAUCUUGUAACAUAAAAGUAUAAUGUAUAAAUAAAAAGAAAUUUUUGUCAAUGUAAGGUAUCACGCACGUAAUCGAGACAGAUUCGUUGCGAUGAUAACAGCGGGAGCGCUGAUAUACCAGGUCGGUUAAAAGUCUUUGGGUUUUAAAAAAUUAUAUAUACCAUUAUUAUUCGCUAAUAUUGUAACAUAAAAGUAUAAUGUAUAAAUAAAAAGAAAUUUUUGUCAAUGUAAGGUAUCACGCACGUAAUCGAGACAGAUUCGUUGCGAUGAUAACAGCGGGAGCGCUGAUAUACCAGGUCGGUUAAAAGUCUUUGGGUUUUAAAAAAUUAUAUAUACCAUUAUUAUUCGCUAAUCUUGUAACAUAAAAGUAUAAUGUAUAAAUAAAAAGAAAUAUUUGUCAAUGUAAGGUAUCACGCACGUAAUCGAGACAGAUUCGUUGCGAUGAUAACAGCGGGAGCGCUGAUAUACCAGGUCGGUUAAAAGUCUUUGGGUUUUAAAAAAUUAUAUAUACCAUUAUUAUUCGCUAAUAUUGUAACAUAAAAGUAUAAUGUAUAAAUAAAAAGAAAUUUUUGUCAAUGUAAGGUAUCACGCACGUAAUCGAGACAGAUUCGUUGCGAUGAUAACAGCGGGAGCGCUGAUAUACCAGGUCGGUUAAAAGUCUUUGGGUUUUAAAAAAUUAUAUAUACCAUUAUUAUUCGCUAAUCUUGUAACAUAAAAGUAUAAUGUAUAAAUAAAAAGAAAUGUUUGUCAAUGUAAGGUAUCACGCACGUAAUCGAGACAGAUUCGUUGCGAUGAUAACAGCGGGAGCGCUGAUAUACCAGGUCGGUUAAAAGUCUUUGGGUUUUAAAAAAUUAUAUAUACCAUUAUUAUUCGCUAAUAUUGUAACAUAAAAGUAUAAUGUAUAAAUAAAAAGAAAUUUUUGUCAAUGUAAGGUAUCACGCACGUAAUCGAGACAGAUUCGUUGCGAUGAUAACAGCGGGAGCGCUAAUCUUGUAAUAUAAAAAUCCGCGGUUAACUGAUAGCGUCUUAUUACUGAAAUACAGUUAAAAGUAACGUAUACCGGGUGACUUAAAAGUAACAUAAAAAAAACAACAAUAACAAUAAUAAUUAUUUAUUUAAAAUAAAUUGAGAUAAAGGUAUUCCAUUCAUAAGUACUGAAAGAUAUUUUGCUGAACUUAAGAUGUUGAGAUAAGAUAAUAGCAGGUGUGAAUGAUCUUGCAGGACUUAUUCCACAUUUUACUUCAUACCCCGAAAUUGGAUACUGUGUUGAAAGCGGGUAAAUGUUUUCAGACUUGACAGCAGUCUCAUAGUUUUCCAAUAUUCUAUCUAACUCUGAACUGUAGUUACUCGAAUCAGAUUCGAUGUCGACAAUACCACUAUCUUGGGAACUCAUGUUGCUAACUGGGUUUGAUAUCCAAAGCUCACUCCAAUUUAUAGAGCUCUUUCAAGGUUUUUAGCGCGGCGAACCGAAAAAAAAAAUCUAUACAAUAUCAAUAUUUUCUAUCCAACUGUUGUGUUUGCUAUCCAAACCAAGCCACUUGACGUACAUUUUGUUACCCUUUCUUGUAAGCACCUUUUCAACUAAGUAAAUGUCUGGAUUCGAUGUUUUCUGUAGUUCUUCAUGAUAGAAGCAGCCGCUGAUUGGUGUACCUUGCAUGUCUUCAAGUAAAUACGUAGCAGGAUUGGUAAUUUUAACUUUGGUGAUUUUGAAUAGUUCUGUAGUCCAAUUGGGUGUAUAUCCUUUUUCAAAGACAUGCUUUGCCUUGGAUAUGCGCACAAUGUCGCCAACUUUAAAUUUUCGUGGACCGGCUAUCUUUAAAUGACUAUAGGUGUUAUUCAAAAUAGAUUUUUCGUUGGAUUUGUUGACUUGAGAAGGUUUAUAUUUUGAUGUGGAAUGUUUUGUAUUGUUAUAGUUUUGAGUUAUUUCAGGCAGAAUAUCAAUCCAUUUGUAGGUGCCAUUUAAACUGAAAUACUUGUAGAGUUUCGAUUUUAGCGUUCUUAUAACUCGCUCUGCCAUAGAGGCUUUCAUUGUACUAAAUACGCUAUAAUGAUAGUAGUCAUAGAGGCGGUUCAGGCAGACAGGCAGACAUCCGGUCCAGCCGCUCUGACCGCAGCGCUAACCGCAAGUCGAAAGCAGUGAUAACAGCGUUUACUAUACUACGUGUAAACCUUCUAAUUAAGAUACAUUAAUUAAUCAAUUUAUUUAAUUAAACAAUUUAAUUGCGGUGGAACUGAAAGUUUUAGACUUUUGUGUUUGAAGGAUUUUGAUAAUUUUAGCACAUCGCGCGUCAAGCAUCGUAGAUAAUGAAGGUCUUUCGUGACAGUAAGAUCCGCAUUCGAUAAUGAAUAUACUUAAUUGUCCGCUCUGUAUAUAAAAUAAAUAUACAUUUAUCAUGCAAACUGUGGGUAUAAUGAAUUAUAUUCCGCCUUGUCUGGCCUGUAUGAUAACGGCGAAAAGGGUGUAGUUACUAGAUUAUCCAGGUCGUCGAAAAAGUUACUAAACACUCUGUAUAAAUAAUAUUAAGAAUUGUGCAUUUGUUGUUGAAGUGUAAAAAAUUAUUUUAUCACAAAGCCACAAAGGACGAUAAGACCAACGGUCCGUGCUGAAAAACACUUUAUUCAGGUCGACGAAGUGAAAGUAGACCGUGUCUUUUUGGAAAAACAAACAGGUGCGUGUGAACA